UACGUAGGGUGCAAGCGUUGUCCGGAAUUAUUGGGCGUAAAGAGCUCGUAGGCGGUCUGUCGCGUCGGAUGUGAAAACCCAGGGCUCAACCCUGGGCCUGCAUUCGAUACGGGCAGACUAGAGUUCGGUAGGGGAGACUGGAAUUCCUGGUGUAGCGGUGAAAUGCGUAGAGAUCAGGAAGAACAUCGGUGGCGAAGGCGCUUUGCUGGACCAUAACUGACACUCAGGGACGAAAGCUAGGGGAGCGAAUGGG
rnacentral:rRNA from 1 species